rnacentral:rRNA from 1 species
UACGUAGGGUGCAAGCGUUGUCCGGAAUUAUUGGGCGUAAAGAGCUCGUGGGCGGUCUGUCGCGUCUGCUGUGAAAACCUAGGGCUUAACCCUGGGCCUGCAGUGGGUACGGGCAGACUAGAGUGCGGUAGGGGAGACUGGAAUUCCUGGUGUAGCGGUGAAAUGCGCAGAUAUCAGGAGGAACACCGGUGGCGAAGGCGGGUCUCUGGGCCGUAACUGACGCUGAGGAGCGAAAGCAUGGGGAGCGAACAGG